GAUGAACGCUGGCGGCGUGCCUAAUACAUGCAAGUCGAGCGAACGGACGAGAAGCUUGCUUCUCUGAUGUUAGCGGCGGACGGGUGAGUAACACGUGGAUAACCUACCUAUAAGACUGGGAUAACUUCGGGAAACCGGAGCUAAUACCGGAUAAUAUUUUGAACCGCAUGGUUCAAAAGUGAAAGACGGUCUUGCUGUCACUUAUAGAUGGAUCCGCGCUGCAUUAGCUAGUUGGUAAGGUAACGGCUUACCAAGGCAACGAUGCAUAGCCGACCUGAGAGGGUGAUCGGCCACACUGGAACUGAGACACGGUCCAGACUCCUACGGGAGGCAGCAGUAGGGAAUCUUCCGCAAUGGGCGAAAGCCUGACGGAGCAACGCCGCGUGAGUGAUGAAGGUCUUCGGAUCGUAAAACUCUGUUAUUAGGGAAGAACAUAUGUGUAAGUAACUGUGCACAUCUUGACGGUACCUAAUCAGAAAGCCACGGCUAACUACGUGCCAGCAGCCGCGGUAAUACGUAGGUGGCAAGCGUUAUCCGGAAUUAUUGGGCGUAAAGCGCGCGUAGGCGGUUUUUUAAGUCUGAUGUGAAAGCCCACGGCUCAACCGUGGAGGGUCAUUGGAAACUGGAAAACUUGAGUGCAGAAGAGGAAAGUGGAAUUCCAUGUGUAGCGGUGAAAUGCGCAGAGAUAUGGAGGAACACCAGUGGCGAAGGCGACUUUCUGGUCUGUAACUGACGCUGAUGUGCGAAAGCGUGGGGAUCAAACAGGAUUAGAUACCCUGGUAGUCCACGCCGUAAACGAUGAGUGCUAAGUGUUAGGGGGUUUCCGCCCCUUAGUGCUGCAGCUAACGCAUUAAGCACUCCGCCUGGGGAGUACGACCGCAAGGUUGAAACUCAAAGGAGUUGACGGGGACCCGCACAAGCGGUGGAGCAUGUGGUUUAAUUCGAAGCAACGCGAAGAACCUUACCAAAUCUUGACAUCCUUUGACAACUCUAGAGAUAGAGCCUUCCCCUUCGGGGGACAAAGUGACAGGUGGUGUAUGGUUGUCGUCAGCUCGUGUCGUGAGAUGUUGGGUUAAGUCCCGCAACGAGCGCAACCCUUAAGCUUAGUUGCCAUCAUUAAGUUGGGCACUCUAAGUUGACUGCCGGUGACAAACCGGAGGAAGGUGGGGAUGACGUCAAAUCAUCAUGCCCCUUAUGAUUUGGGCUACACACGUGCUACAAUGGACAAUACAAAGGGCAGCGAAACCGCGAGGUCAAGCAAAUCCCAUAAAGUUGUUCUCAGUUCGGAUUGUAGUCUGCAACUCGACUACAUGAAGCUGGAAUCGCUAGUAAUCGUAGAUCAGCAUGCUACGGUGAAUACGUUCCCGGGUCU
rnacentral:rRNA from 1 species